CGAACGCUGGCGGCGUGCUUAACACAUGCAAGUCGAACGGUGAAGCGCCUUCCUUUUUGGUGGGUGUGGAUGAGUGGCGAACGGGUGAGUAACACGUGAGUAACCUGCCCCCUUCUUCUGGAUAACCGCAUGAAAGUGUGGCUAAUACGGGAUAUUCUGGGUCUGUCGCAUGAUGGGUCUGGGAAAGAUAUUGUUUCGGUGGGGGAUGGGCUCGCGGCCUAUCAGCUUGUUGGUGGGGUGAUGGCCUACCAAGGCGGUGACGGGUAGCCGGCCUGAGAGGGUGGACGGUCACACUGGGACUGAGACACGGCCCAGACUCCUACGAGAGGCAGCAGUGGGGAAUAUUGCACAAUGGGCGCAAGCCUGAUGCAGCGACGCCGCGUGAGGGAUGGAGGCCUUCGGGUUGUGAACCUCUUUCGCCAGUGAAGCAGGCCUGCCUCGUUUGUGGGUGGGUUGACGGUAGCUGGAUAAGAAGCGCCGGCUAACUACGUG
rnacentral:rRNA from 1 species